GUGUCAGCAGCCGCGGUAAUACGAAGGACCCGAGCGUUAUCCGGAUUUAUUGGGUUUAAAGGGUGCGUAGGCGGAUUAGUAAGUCAGUGGUGAAAGCCCAUCGCUUAACGGUGGAAUUGCCAUUGAUACUGCUAGUCUUGAGUAUGGUUGAGGUGGGCGGAAUGUGUCAUGUAGCGGUGAAAUGCUUAGAUAUGACCCAGAACACCAAUUGCGAAGGCAGCUCGCUAAACCAUAACUGACGCUGAUGCACGAAAGCGUGGGGAGCAAACAGGAUUAGAUACCCUGGUAGUCC
rnacentral:rRNA from 1 species